CUCUAGGCUUGGGGUGUCUCAAUCUAUCAUUGAAUAAUUUCAUUGGAUGGAUCCUGAGCAGAAUCCAGAAUCUCCAACAGCUGAAGUUUCUGGAUUUGCAUUCAAAUGGGAUUGCAGGUGAUGUCAGGAUUCUGUUGUCUGAGCUUUAGAAUACAAAAUAUGUCGAUAUCAGUGGAAAUCACUUCAAAGGAAGGCUUUCAUUGGAUCCAUAGAAUGUUUCCAACUUAGUAAAUACUUUUCGGUAUUUGAAUUUGAGGCACAAUGGGCUGGAUGGGGAGUCUUUUAAGGAUUGUUCGAUGCAGAUAUUUUAGAACUUGGAAAUAUUGGAUGUGAGUCAAAAUCAAAUUAGAGGGAAGCUUCCUUUGUUUCAUCCAUUGCUAUACCUCCGGGUUUUGUGGGUUGGUAACAAUCUGCUUCAUGGAUCUAUACCACCUGAGCUCUUUGGGAGUUCCAUGCAGCUGGAAGAACUGGAUCUCAGCAGCAAUGGAUUUUCAGGUUGAGACGGUCCUUCGAGAGCAUCCUAAUCCGUCUCAAGUGGAGAAGGUUAAACUAAUCCUUGGGGAUCAUGAAAAAGAACUUAGCGAAGCACUUGAGAAGGUCGUUGGUGUAUUAGACAAUGGAAUCGCAUUGAUUUGCAAGGUGAUUAUAGCUGAAAUAGUCGUUACGUGGGUCUGUUGGACACUUUGGUGUGAUGUUUUUUUUGUUGAUAGAUGCUAGCUCCUUUUUGUAUUACAACCCUGCUUGAUAGGUUGUGUUAAGGAUGAUUGGGUUUCUGUGCCUCUAUUAUGUGGGUAAGAGCAAUUGGAGUCUUAUGGAAUGGAUUAGCUGUACCUCUGUUAUGUGUUACUGAUGGUCGCUAUCUUGGAGCGACAUUGGACCGGAAUGGAUUGCACCCCAGUCGCAUUUACAUCACACAUAGUGGACACGUGAUCAUGGCCAGUGAGGUUGGUGUUGUAGACAUUUUGCCAGAAGAUGUGGCUAGGAAAGGAAGACAUUGGAUCUGUCUAAAGGGGACCUUACUGAAAUAGUUCAUGUGGAAGGCUAGGAAAGGAAGACAUUUGUAGUUUGUUUUGAAAACCUUAAAUAGACCAUUAAUUGUUUUGUUGAUAUUGUGCUGAUUGUUGUCUUGAUGAAUGUUAAAUGGGUGAAAUAUGCACAGGUUCAAUCAUUUGUUGAUUA